ensembl:lncRNA
GGAUUCCCAUGAUGCAACAGCAGCAACCACAGCAGGGUCCUUCACAAGCAGAGCUCGUGAGAAGAUUCAAGCGCUUUCUGAUGAGGAGGAAAUGAAACACCAUGAAACCUGAGUUGGACAUUCAGAUUUCAACUGAGACAACCACAACUCCGUCCCCAACUACUUGUUAAGACAAUAUUCAAGUUUAGAGUCGACAAAUUUGAGAGGAACAAGGUAUACAUCAGAAUACAAAUGCUAUUUGUGGUACUGUACAAUAUCCCAUUAUUGAAAAAAAUAAUAAGCAAAACGUAUCUUGGGUCAUUUAUUUACAGGUGUCUGC